AGAGUUUGAUCCUGGCUCAGAAUCAACGCUGGCGGCGUGCCUAACACAUGCAAGUCGAACGGGAAAACAGGGGCAACUCUGUGAGUAUAGUGGCGUACGGGUGAGUAACACGUGACUACCUACCUUCGAGUGGGGGAUAACCCCGGGAAACCGGGGCUAAUACCGCAUAACAUCGCAAGAUCAAAGGAGCAAUUCGCUUGAAGAGGGGGUCGCGGCUGAUUAGCUAGUUGGUAGGGUAAUGGCCUACCAAGGCGAUGAUCGGUAGCCGGCCUGAGAGGGCGCACGGCCACACUGGAACUGAAACACGGUCCAGACUCCUACGGGAGGCAGCAGUGGGGAAUUUUGCGCAAUGGGGGAAACCCUGACGCAGCAACGCCGCGUGGAGGAUGAAGUCCCUUGGGACGUAAACUCCUUUCGACCGGGACGAUUAUGACGGUACCGGUGGAAGAAGCCCCGGCUAACUUCGUGCCAGCAGCCGCGGUAAUACGAGGGGGGCAAGCGUUGUUCGGAAUUAUUGGGCGUAAA
rnacentral:rRNA from 1 species